rnacentral:lncRNA from 1 species
UUCAAUCUGUCAUGUAUGAGAACCUGUUUUAACAAAGUUUAACAAAGUAAACUUCUGUUGUCCUGGGGUAUCAGUUGUCACUCCCCCUUUUUGUCCAAAAAUGUUGCCAAAGCAACACUUUAAAUUACAGAUCCACAAAUAGUAAGUAGAAUUACACAAAUGACAGAAAACACACAAAGACAAGUAUUUAAUCCUCAGCCUCAUCAUCAGCCUCCUCUUCAGAGCUGGCCUCCUCCUCAUCCUCAGAACUUUGCCUAUCAGCUCCAUCCGUG